rfam:Lepisosteus oculatus linkage group LG11, whole genome shotgun sequence.
GCAAUAGUAAUCCUGCUCAAGUUCAGACAUUUGGAGUACAGAAUGUGCUUGGCUGAGGAGCCAGUGGUGUGAAGCCACUGUCUGUGGGAUUAUGACUGAAUGCCUCUAAAUCAGCAUCCUCCUCAAAAGGU